AAUUUAAUAUAAUUAAUAUGAAUUCUUAAAAUAAACGGGUAGGUAAAAGCUUUAGAUUAGCCAUAUUUUUAUGAAUUGCUAGUCACGAGCUAAAGCAUGAGUGGAUAGCCUUACCAUGGGCCGGAACGUGGUGCUAUUGAUUGCCUCGUCACGGAUAGAAAAUGUUGCCAUGGUUAGUCUAAAGCUAAAAAUAAAAUAUUGGAUAUGCAUGUGAACCUGUUUGGUGAAUAUGGAUUCUAGGCUAAUUGCAUUAUUAUCGGUUGCCCUAUGACAAUCCAGAAAUGUAGCAUUAUCGAUUGUGUUGUUAUGGCGAAAAAUAUAACAUUACUAAUUGCCCCAUCAUGGGCGAAAAACAUGACGGAGGUUAUCCCAAAGUCGAAAGAUAACCAUUAUUCUACCUGGAUCGUGCUGACACGAUAAAUAAGUUAUUUGAAAUCAUUGUUAAAUAAAACGGUUAAUUUGAUAUUACAUGAAAUAUCAUAGAACAGUAAUUUUGAUAUAUGAUGCAUAUGGGUAUUUUCCUGCUUAUUUGAAUUGUGUUGGAUUGUUGGUAUGUGAUUUCAUGAUAAUUAUAAAUACUUUGGUAUUGAUUAUUUGUUACUGUA
rnacentral:lncRNA from 1 species